CUUUUGCCUGCGGCCACCUAAGACGUAACUUUGCUCCUUAUUCGCUUUCCGCCAUGAUUGUGAGGCCUCCCCCACCAUGUGGAACUGGCAUUCCAUGGUCCAAACCACCAUUUUAUAAAAGACAACAUGAAAACCAGAAGCAGGGCACUGGCUGCCAAUUUGACGUAAGAUAACUGGAAGGAAAAUGCUGAUGACUUAAAGUAUGUGAAAUUUUGGCAAGGCUGCCAAGACCAUUCAACAAAAAGGACAAUCGUUUCAGUAAAUGAUGUUGGAAAAAUACCCACGUACAAAAAAAUAAAGUUGGAGCCUUGCUUUAUACCAUGCACAAAAUUAACUCAAAAUGAAUCAAAGACCUAAACAUAAUACUUAAAAUUAUAAAACUCUCAGAAGAAAACACAGGGAAAAAGUUUCAUGAUAUUGGAUUUGGCAAUGACUUUGUGAAUAUGAUACUAAAAACACAGAUAUCAGAAGAAAUAGAUAAAUUAGACUUGAUCAAAAUUAAAAACUUUUAGGAAUCAAUGGACACUCAAUAGAAUAAAAAGACAACACGUGGAACUGGGGGAAAUAUUUACAAAUCUACAUUUGAUCAGGAGUUGAUAUACAGAUUAUAUAAAGAACUUUUAUAACUCAGCAACAAAGAACCAAUUUAAUUAAGAAAUGAGGAGAAACAGGACAAAAAUGUCCAUUCUCAUAACUUCUUCUCAACAUAGUACUUGAAAUCAUGGCCAGAGCAGUUAGGCAAGGGAAAGAAUCAGAAGGUAUCCAAAUUGGAAAAGAGGAAGUUAAAUUGUCCCUGUUUGCAGAUGAUAUGACUUUAUAUAUAGAAAACUCUAAAAAUUCCACCAAUAAAACUCUCAGAACUGAUAAACAAAUUCAAUGAAGUUGUAGGAUACAAAAUCAACAUACAAAAAUCAGUAGUAUUUCUAUGCUAGGCUUGAUGGCUCAUGCCUGUAAUCCCAGCACUUUGGGAGGCUGAGGUGGGUGGAUCACAUGAGGUCAGGAGUUUGAGACUAGCCUGGCCAACAUGGCCAAACCCCAUCUCUACUAAAAAUACAAAAAUUAGCCCGGCAUGGUGGUGCGUGUCUGUAAUCCCAGCUACUCAGGAAGCUGAAGCAUGAGAAUCACUUGAACCCAGUAUGUGGAGGCUGAAGUGAGCUGAGAGCGCACCAGUGCUCUCCAGCCUGGGUGACAGAGCAAGACUGUCUCAAAAAAAAAAAAAGGCUGGGAAAAUUGGAUAUUCACAUGCAGAAGAAUGAAACUGAACCCCUAUCUUUCACCAUAUAUAAAAAUCAACUAAAAAUGAUUUAAAGACUUCAGUAUAAGACCUGAAACUAUAAAGCUACCAGAAGAAAACAGGGAAGACACUUCAUCAGCCUGGGCAAUAUGGCAAACCCCAUCUCUACAAAAAAUACAAAAAUUAGCCAUGUGGGGUGGUGCAUGCCUGUCAUCCUAGCUACUUAGGGAGUUGCGGUGGGAAGAUCUCUUGAGUCCAGAAGGCAGAGGUUGCAGUGAGCCAAGAUCACGGCAUUGCACUCCAGCCUGGGUGACAAAGGGAGACCCUGUCUCAAAAGAACAAAAGCAAAACAAAACAAAACAGAAACACUUCAUGACAUGAGAUUAGGCAAGAAUCUUUUGAAUAGGACCUUAAAACAUAAACAACAAAUACAAAGAUAAAGACAUGGGGUUACAUCAAAUUACAAAGGUUCUGCCUGGUGAAGGAAACAACAGAGUGAAAAGACAACCUGUAGAAUGGGAGAAAAUAUUUGCAAACUAUGCAUCUGACAUGGGGUUAAUAUCCAGAAUAUAUAAGGAACUCAAGCAACUCAGCAGCAAAAAACAAACAAUUCAACUACAAAAUGGGCAAAAGACCAUGUUGAUUCAGCAUUAUUUACAGUAGCCCAGAUAUGGGCUUAACUUAGGUGUCUAACAAUGGAUGAAUGGAUAAAAUGAUAAAUUGAUAAAAUAAAUGUAUAGUUAUGCACUGCAUUACAGCAUUUCAGUUAAUGACUGACCAGAAAUGUGACGGUGGUCCAAAAAGAUUACAAGGCAGCUGAAAAAUUCCUAUCACAGUGACAUUGUAGCUGUCAUAACAGUGUAACACAAUUACUUUAUUUUUAUUUUUUUUAUUAUACUUUAAGUUUUAGGGUACAUGUGCACAACGUGCAGGUUUGUUACAUAUGUAUACAUGUGCCAUGUUGGUGUGCUGCACCCAUUAACUGAUCAUUUACAUUAGGUAUAUCUCCUAAUGCUAUCCCUCCCCCCUCCCCCCACCCCACAACAGGUCCUGGUGUGUGACGUUCCCCUUCCUGUGUCCAAGUGUUCUCAUUGUUCAGUACCCACCUAUGAGUGAGAACAUGUGGUGUUUGGUUUUUUUUGUCCUUGCGAUAGUUUGCUGAGAAUGAUGGUUUCCAGCUUCAUCCGUGUCCCUACAAAGACAUGAACUCAUCAUUUUUUAUGGCUGCAUAGUAUUCCAUGGUGUAUAUGUGCCACAUUUUCUUAAUCCAGUCUAUCGUUGUUGGACAUUUGGUUUGUUCCAAGUCUUUGCUAUUGUGAAUAGUGCCGCAAUAAACAUACGUGUGCAUGUGUCUUUAUAGCAGCAUGAUUUAUAAUCCUUUGGGUAUAUACCCAGUAAUAGGAUGGCUGGGUCAAAUGGUAUUUCUAGUUCUAGAUCCCUGA
rnacentral:lncRNA from 1 species